UAGGUUAACGAGGCGAACCGGGGGAACUGAAACAUCUAAGUACCCCGAGGAAAAGAAAUCAACCGAGAUUCCCCCAGUAGCGGCGAGCGAACGGGGAGCAGCCCAGAGUCUGAAUCAGCUUGUGUGUUAGUGGAAGCGUCUGGAAAGUCGCACGGUACAGGGUGAAAGUCCCGUACACGAAAGCACACAGGCUGUGAACUCGAAGAGUAGGGCGGGACACGUGGUAUCCUGUCUGAAUAUGGGGGGACCAUCCUCCAAGGCUAAAUACUCCUGACUGACCGAUAGUGAACCAGUACCGUGAGGGAAAGGCGAAAAGAACCCCGGCGAGGGGAGUGAAAAAGAACCUGAAACCGUGUACGUA
rnacentral:rRNA from 1 species